UAACCUGCCCAAGAGAUCGGGAUAACACCUGGAAACAGAUGCUAAUACCGGAUAACAACAGAUGAUGCCUAUCAACUGUUUAAAAGAUGGUUCUGCUAUCACUCUUGGAUGGACCUGCGGUGCAUUAGCUAGUUGGUGGGGUAACGGCCUACCAAGGCGAUGAUGCAUAGCCGAGUUGAGAGACUGAUCGGCCACAUUGGGACUGAGACACGGCCCAAACUCCUACGGGAGGCAGCAGCA
rnacentral:rRNA from 1 species